rnacentral:rRNA from 1 species
UACGAAGGGGGCUAGCGUUGCUCGGAAUCACUGGGCGUAAAGGGUGCGUAGGCGGGCAGGUAGGUCCGUGGUGAAAUCUCUGAGCUUAACUCAGAAACUGCCAUGGAUACUAUUUGUCUUGAAUAUUGUGGAGGUAAGCGGAAUAUGUCAUGUAGCGGUGAAAUGCUUAGAUAUGACAUAGAACACCAAUUGCGAAGGCAGCUUACUACACAGUUAUUGACGCUGAGGCACGAAAGCGUGGGGAUCAAACAGG